rnacentral:rRNA from 1 species
UAGGGAAUCUUCCGCAAUGGACGAAAGUCUGACGGAGCAACGCCGCGUGAGUGAUGAAGGGUUUCGGCUCGUAAAGCUCUGUUAUGAGGAAAGAACACGUACCGUUCGAAUAGGGCGGUACCUUGACGGUACCUCAUCAGAAAGCCACGGCUAACUACGUGCCAGCAGCCGCGGUAAUACGUAGGUGGCAAGCGUUGUCCGGAAUUAUUGGGCGUAAAGCGCGCGCAGGCGGCCUUUUAAGUCUGAUGUGAAAUCUUGCGGCUCAACCGCAAGCGGCCAUUGGAAACUGGGAGGCUUGAGUACAGAAGAGGAGAGUGGAAUUCCACGUGUAGCGGUGAAAUGCGUAGAUAUGUGGAGGAACACCAGUGGCGAAGGCGACUCUCUGGUCUGUAACUGACGCUGAGGCGCGAAAGCGUGGGGAGCAAACAGG